AGUGAACGCUGGCGGUAGGCCUAACACAUGCAAGUCGAACGGCAGCACAGGAGAGCUUGCUCUCUGGGUGGCGAGUGGCGGACGGGUGAGGAAUACAUCGGAAUCUACCUUUUCGUGGGGGAUAACGUAGGGAAACUUACGCUAAUACCGCAUACGACCUACGGGUGAAAGUGGGUGGCCGCAAGGCCUCACGCGAUUAGAUGAGCCGAUGUCCGAUUAGCUAGUUGGCGGGGUAAUGGCCCACCAAGGCGACGAUCGGUAGCUGGUCUGAGAGGAUGAUCAGCGACACUGGAACUGGGACACGGUCCAGACUCCUACGGGAGGCAGCAGUGGGGAAUAUUGGACAAUGGGCGCAAGCCUGAUCCAGCCAUACCGCGUGGGUGAAGAAGGCCUUCGGGUUGUAAAGCCCUUUUGUUGGGAAAGAAAUCCUGUCGAUUAAUACUCGGUGGGGAUGACGGUACCCAAAGAAUAAGCACCGGCUAACUUCGUG
rnacentral:rRNA from 1 species